CAAUGCCAUGGUGCGAGGCCACGUGAUGUGACGUCAGUCUGAGGCCAUUUCUCUCGAGCUCGCCAAGGUGGUCGGAAGCUAAAUCUCGAUUUUCUUCUAAAUUUCGCACAGCAUUGCAGAUAUUCUGCUUUGGCCACAUAACUUUCCUUGAUCUAUGAUAUGAGAUGACGGAUGAGGUGUCCAUGGUGGUAAGAGAUGACAGCCGGUGGUCCAUGAUGCCAGGAGGUGAAAGGUUCUGUCCAGAAAUCCCUCGGUGAUCUCAAUCCUAGCCAGGCGAUGGACCAUAAAUCAGCAGUCUGACCAACAAUGUUCAAUACAAGCCCACAAUUCCAUAAUUGCACGGUGGGAUGUCAUACACACGAAGCGGCUGGACUCCACAGGGAAUCAGAUGAUACAGCAGAUACAAUACUACACACGGUGGAAUUGCGUGCACACCACGUGCCAAUGACGUCAUCAAGUCACGUGAUCUAUAUGAGAGGACGACGUAUCGGCAAAGGAGGGAACGUUUAUGGAAAAUUUUCUCGCCAAACAACAUGUGGAAAGUUUAAGGCAAGACCAAUACUUUGUAAAACUGAAUGUCGAACACUUGUCAAAGUUUCAGCUGAAAUGAGUUCAAAUUGAGAUAUAUUAGUCCUUUUCAAAGUAUGCUUAGAAACCUGGUUGGUCAAUAACUACAUUAGUGAGGUUUCGCAUGCUAAUGAUUUGAUUCAGCAAACACAGGAAGCAGAGAGUUUGCCAGAUCUUCCCUCCAUCAUUGGUUACUUUCUAAAAGCAGAUUCUGAUCCUUCCGGUCAGUUUCAGCAAAUCAGAAAUGAAGAUUGAAGAUUUUGAUUGGGCUAAAAUCAUUUUUCAAAGUGCAAAACCACCAUACUUUCGUUUCUUGAAGAUUUUGUACACAGUCGUGCUGGAAGAAUAAUCAAGUUAAAAAAACUAUCAUUUUCGGCAAACUUUCUUGGCUCAAGUAGGACAUUUUUAUAUAUCAUUUUACGAAAGUCUCCUGUUUAAAAAGAUUUCCGGUUAAAACGGGUAAAAUAGACUUUCGCGUAAGAAAAAGUAAAAAAAGGUCCACGUUGGAUUCGAACCAUCGAUCUCCUACAUUAGAGUCCAACGCUCUUACCACUACUCCAUAAAACCACCCACUGGAAGGGGCCGGCAAUGUGAGAGUCAUUGAAAACAUGUGCUCAGACCUUCAUCAUUGAGUUAUGUCACGAUCAUUCAAUUGAGUAUACAAGUUCCGGGACUCUUUGUCCAAAUUAUGUGGAUUUCACGUCACUGCCACAGACCCUUUGAUGGGGCCAUUGUGGUCCCUUAAUCUGUAUAUUCCAUUGAAUGAGACAAUAGGGCCUACUGUUGCUGGCCGAACCGUCCAAUAAUUUUUCCGCGUUACUGUGUUUGCUGGGACUUGGGUAUCACAACCUUGUGAUAUAUCAAUACAAGUACAGGGUGUUUAUCAAAACAAGUUACAGUCUUGAGGCCUAAUAACCGUUGUUCUAAAUGACUUGGCCAAUUUGAUUUGUACCAUCAACAAAUAAAAUCCCUCAGAAUUGGUUGCAUACUAACUGAAGUAUAAUCUAUCCAGUUCAUAUACUUCUUACACAACUGGAACUCAAAAUAUUUUAAUUAACACCCUGUAUACUUGAUGAAAAUAUCACGUAUAAAUUCCAAUUUGAAGCCGUGGCAGUUGUAAGUUGACUUGCAACGGUGAUUUUUUGUCUAUUAAAACCUUAUCAUAGUUUCGAACUACACCUUCCACCAUGGACCACCCAGGCUCCUCAAGUCUGGUGUCCUCGAAAACCCUCAUUCCAUUUUGGGAAAACAUUUGAUCAGAAAUGGAAAACAUUUGUGACACCCUGUGUAUGUGUAUUUAUGUUAAGAUGUCAGAUAUUCCGUUGUGAUCAAAAGUAGAAAUUAGUUUAUCAACAACAUCAUUAAACUGCUGCAGUACAAAGUUGUUUCUUAAGAAUAUCAAUUAAGAAAACAAAACCCCUAUAAACUAGAAGUAACACGUAUUCACCCAUUCUGAAUUACAUAAACAAGAGUUGACCUCUUAGUCCCAAAAAGCUGAUUGGUUCAUUUCCAAUGAGCAAGCGGAAAGCAGAUUUCGACACUUUCGAUAAACAGGGAUCCAUAAUUUAUCAUUUCUUUUAAAAAGCAUAAACGGUAACCUGCUCAGUGUCAGGAUCAUUUCGGCUAACUAUUUGUUGCUUUGAUUUCGAGUGUCCAUUUACCCUAAUCAGUAAUCAGUAAGUUUGAUAAGUGGGCAGUGACACCGCAUCCAGAUUUUGAUGUUGAGUUCUGAAAUAACUAAUUGGUACACCCAAGAAUUGUCUGUGUAAUAACAGACACAUUUCAAUCGUUGGGGUAAAUUAAUCUAUGUCAUUAAAGCAACAUCAACAUUCAAAAUGUUUGAAAGGAAUUAUCAGGGCAUUAAGAUAUCAUUAUCAAUCGCCCUUUUCUAAAAACCAUGCUACCAAUCCAGACCUUAGAUCCAAAUCAAAUGAAAUGUAUGGAAAUCCAUUCCCUUCCAGACUGUUUAAGAUAUUCUAAAGAAACAAUUAACUGACGGCAAUACUCUGUACAACAGAUUAAGAUUUAGGCCUUAAUUACCGGUACUUGUGUCUGACUGUGUAAAAAUACUUUAAUCUCACUUCUAUAAGACCAUCUAAUGAACUUUAACGAAUGAAUGAUUGCGGCUGCGGGAUAUCCUUUGACUUCCGCAGCUGUAGCGUAAACUGUAAGACUUCACAAGCACUGAAGCUGUCUUAUCACUUUCUAUUUGCUACGUUGAUUUGGGUUGUGUUAAAAUUCACGAAAAUGGUCUUAUACUUGUGAUUUUACAGUAUUUCGCCUUCUUUGCGUGUACUGUGAAAAUCGUUGGUAGUUUUUUUAAUAAAACUUGUGUUUAAAAUUGACGUGUUUUUGGUUCCUUCGACUUCAACUCAAUCCUUUUAUUUGAAACAUGGAAAAUAGUUGUCAGUUCAGAGUUUACUAGUUAUAUCUGCAGUUUUGUUUCAAACAAUUUAUUAAUCUUUAGCAGCAGCACGGUUUGCAAACAGCAAACUUUAUUCCAUGAAUCUUUAAUGCAGU